rnacentral:rRNA from 1 species
GAUUGAACGCUGACAGAAUGCUUAACACAUGCAAGUCAACUUGAACUUCGGUUUGGGUGGCGGACGGGUGAGUAACGCGUAAAGAACUUGCCUCACAGAUAGGGACAACAUUUGGAAACGAAUGCUAAUACCUGAUAUUAUGAUUUUAGGGCAUCCUAGAAUUAUGAAAGCUAUAUGCGCUGUGAGAGAGCUUUGCGUCCCAUUAGCUAGUUGGAGAGGUAACGGCUCACCAAGGCGAUGAUGGGUAGCCGGCCUGAGAGGGUGAUCGGCCACAAGGGGACUGAGACACGGCCCUUACUCCUACGGGAGGCAGCAGUGGGGAAUAUUGGACAAUGGACCAAGAGUCUGAUCCAGCAAUUCUGUGUGCACGAUGAAGUUUUUCGGAAUGUAAAGUGCUUUCAGUUGGGAAGAAAAAAAUGACGGUACCAACAGAAGAAGUGACGGCUAAAUACGUGCCAGCAGCCGCGGUAAUACGUAUGUCACAAGCGUUAUCCGGAUUUAUUGGGCGUAAAGCGCGUCUAGGUGGUUAUGUAAGUCUGAUGUGAAAAUGCAGGGCUCAACUCUGUAUUGCGUUGGAAACUGUGUAACUAGAGUACUGGAGAGGUAAGCGGAACUACAAGUGUAGAGGUGAAAUUCGUAGAUAUUUGUAGGAAUGCCGAUGGGGAAGCCAGCUUACUGGACAGAUACUGACGCUGAAGCGCGAAAGCGUGGGUAGCAAACAGG